rnacentral:rRNA from 1 species
CCAGACUCCUACGGGAGGCAGCAGUGAGGAAUAUUGGUCAAUGGGCGAGAGCCUGAACUAGCCAAGUCGCGUGAGGGAGUACUGCCCUAUGGGUUGUAAACCUCUUUUGUCGGGGAGCAAAAGCCGGACGUGUCCGGCUGUGGGAGUACCCGAAGAAAAAGCAUCGGCUAACUCCGUGCCAGCAGCCGCGGUAAUACGGAGGAUGCGAGCGUUAUCCGGAUUUAUUGGGUUUAAAGGGUGCGCAGGCGGAUUUUGAAGUCAGCGGUAAAAAUUGGGGGCUCAACCCCGGCCGGCCGUUGAAACUGGGGGCCUUGAGGGGGCGAGAAGAAGGCGGAAUGCGUGGUGGAGCGGUGAAAU